rnacentral:rRNA from 1 species
UACGUAGGGGGCAAGCGUUGUCCGGAUUUAUUGGGCGUAAAGAGCUCGUAGGUGGUUCGGUAAGUCGGAUGUGAAAUCUCCAGGCUCAACCUGGAGGGGUCAUUCGAUACUGCCGUGACUAGAGUUCGGUAGGGGAGUGUGGAAUUCCUGGUGUAGCGGUGAAAUGCGCAGAUAUCAGGAGGAACACCAGCGGCGAAGGCGGCGCUCUGGGCCGGAACUGACGCUGAGGAGCGAAAGCGUGGGGAGCAAACAGG